AUGCGGCAAGGAUUGAAGGAGAGGAGAUGGCCUCCCGCCUGGAUACUCGGGACUUGGCCCCAGCGCGCACCCCCAUUGGGCGGCGGGGUUCUAGGGGAGCCGAUCGGCGUCCCCGGGGUCCGGGCCUGCGGGGCCACCCCUGCCGGCUCUUCGGGUCUCUGGAACCUCAAGGAUGCGAGUCGUGAUGCGCGCCCCCCCCCCCCCCCGCCCCUGCUGCCUUCGGGGGCCCUGGCCGUGACCCUGACCCGGGCGGGCUCCCACUCCCUGAGGUAUUUCUACACCUCCGUGUCCCGGCCCGGCCGCGGGGACCCCCGCUUCAUCGCCGUCGGCUACGUGGACGACACGCAGUUCGUGCGGUUCGACAGCGACGCGGCCACUGGGAGGAUGGAGCCGCGGGCGCCGUGGGUGGAGCAGGAGGGGCCGGAGUAUUGGGACCCGCAGACGCGGACCAUCAAGGAGACCGCACGGACUUUCCGAGUGGACCUGGACACCCUGCGCGGCUACUACAACCAGAGCGAGGCCGGGUCUCACACCCGCCAGACCACGUACGGCUGUGACCUGGGGCCCGGCGGGCGCCUCCUCCGCGGGUACAGUCAGGACGCCUACGACGGCGCCGAUUACAUCGCCCUGAACGAGGACCUGCGCUCCUGGACCGCGGCGGACGCGGCGGCGCAGAUCACCCGGCGCAAGAGGGAGGCGGCAGGUGAUGCAGGGCACCUGAGGAACUACCUGGAGACGACGUGCGUGGAGUGGCUGCGGAGGUACCUGGAGAUGGGGAAGGAGACGCUGCUGCGCGCAGAUCCCCCAAAGGCACUCUCACCCACCACCCCUUCUCUGACUGUGAGGUCACCCUGACCUGCCAAAUGGGAUGGGGAGGACCAGACCCAGGACACAGAGCUUGUGGAGACCAGGCCUGCAGGAGAUGGGACCUUCCAGAAGUGGGCGGCUGUGGUGGUGCCCUCUGGACAGGAGCAGAGAUACACGUGCCACGUGCAGCAUGAGGGGCUGGCGGAGCCUGUCACCCGGAGAUGGGAGUCCCCUCCUCGGCUCACCAUCCCCAUCGUGGGCAUCGUUGCUGGUCUGCUUGUCUUUGUGGUCUCUGGUACUAUGGUGGCUGGAGCUGUCCUGUGGAGGAAGUAGAUCUCAGGUGGAAGAAGAAUUAUGCUGAGGUUGCACAUGAGUAUGGAGGGGGUGAUCCCUGAAACCCCGGGGUGGUACAGACAGGACCCCAUGGGGAUCUUGGCACCCCCCCACUAGCUCCUCCUUUGGUCUCAUCUCCUUUGGCUCUGACCACAUUCUAUCUGUUCUGCCCCAGGCAGUGACAGUGCCCAGGGCUCUCUCUCUGCUUCUACUGGUGAGACCUUGGAGGGCCUGAAGGGGGGAGUGGGGAGGGGACUGGGCCGUGAUUGGGUAGUGGGGAUUCUUUGAGUAGGAUAUUUUGAGCAUGUGCUGAGCUGUUGAGAAAGUCAGCAUGUAUAUGACUGACCCAAAUCUGUUCAUGAUUAUUUUAUUUCAUAGUGUGAACCAGCUGCCUCGUGGGGGACUGAGUGAUGCAGGAUUUGUUCACUUUCCCACCUUGUGAUGUCAACACCCCUGAUUUCUCUUUCUGCAAAGGGCAUGUCUGAAUGUGUCUGAAAUAUGUUCCUAUUAACAUAAUGUGAGGAGGUGGGCAGACUGGCUCCCUCCCCACGUGACUCCCCUCCCCCGACAGACCUGUGUUCUGCUUUUGUGUUGCUUUUGUGUUGCAGCUGAGGGAGAGCGGGUCAUCUCCAUCCCUGUCUUUAUGUUACACCGAGCUACAACUUCUUACUUCCUUAUUGAACAUAGGACUGUGGAUGUGAAAUUGUUUUUUCCAGUUCUUGUCAUGAGGAGCUGAUCAGUUAGUCAGAUCUGAUCUGAAAGGAGAAGAUUCCUAAAGUUUGAGAGAGGAAAUAAAUGGGAGCACUGAGACUCUUCCAGAACCUGCA